rnacentral:rRNA from 1 species
GGGAUAACCUUGCGAAAGUAAGACUAAUACCCAAUGAUAUCUCUAGAAGACAUCUGAAAGAGAUUAAAGAUUUAUCGGUGAUGGAUGGGGAUGCGUCUGAUUAGCUUGUUGGCGGGGUAACGGCCCACCAAGGCGACGAUCAGUAGGGGUUCUGAGAGGAAGGUCCCCCACAUUGGAACUGAGACACGGUCCAAACUCCUACGGGAGGCAGCAGUGAGGAAUAUUGGUCAAUGGACGAGAGUCUGAACCAGCCAAGUAGCGUGCAGGAUGACGGCCCUAUGGGUUGUAAACUGCUUUUAUAAGGGAAUAAAGUGAGUCUCGUGAGACUUUUUGCAUGUACCUUAUGAAUAAGGACCGGCUAAUUCCGUGCCAGCAGCCGCGGUAAUACGGAAGGUCCGGGCGUUAUCCGGAUUUAUUGGGUUUAAAGGGAGCGUAGGCCGGAGAUUAAGCGUGUUGUGAAAUGUAGACGCUCAACGUCUGCACUGCAGCGCGAACUGGUUUCCUUGAGUACGCACAAAGUGGGCGGAAUUCGUGGUGUAGCGGUGAAAUGCUUAGAUAUCACGAAGAACUCCGAUUGCGAAGGCAGCUCACUGGAGCGCAACUGACGCUGAAGCUCGAAAGUGCGGGUAUCGAACAGGAUUAGAUACCCUGGUAGUCCGCACGGUAA